rnacentral:rRNA from 1 species
GAAGAAAGAGGGAGGAGGGAAGAAUACAGGCAAGUCGAGCGGACGGAUGGGAGCUUGCUCCCAGACCGUCAGCGGCGGACGGGUGAGUAACACGUGGGCAACCUGCCUAUAAGACUGGGAUAACUCCGGGAAACCGGGGCUAAUACCGGAUAACUCUUUCCCUCACAUGAGGGAAAGCUGAAAGAUGGCAUCUCGCUAUCACUUACAGAUGGGCCCGCGGCGCAUUAGCUAGUUGGUGAGGUAACGGCUCACCAAGGCGACGAUGCGUAGCCGACCUGAGAGGGUGAUCGGCCACACUGGGACUGAGACACGGCCCAGACUCCUACGGGAGGCAGCAGUAGGGAAUCUUCCGCAAUGGACGAAGGUCUGACGGAGCAACGCCGCGUGAGUGAUGAAGGUUUUCGGAUCGUAAAACUCUGUUGUCAGGGAAGAACAAGUACCGGAGUAACUGCCGGUACCUUGACGGUACCUGACCAGAAAGCCCCGGCUCCCUACGUC